GGAAAAUGGUGACGCCGAGGGUGACUGAUUUCCAGGUUUACAUCGGUUGCCCCAGGGGAAGUGCCUGGCCCCCAUCUGGUCCUUGCUGCUCUAACUUUGCCCUGUUAAUUGAAGAAAUGCAGGAUCUGGAGCUCAGGACCCACUACCUCCCCGGCCCACUGCAAGCUUGAACAUUUGAUGGUGGACACCCCUCCCUGACUUUGUAUUAUGUGUCACUGGUGUGGGGGUUACCUUCCCACUAUGUCUCCCAGAAGACAUGAGGGCACAGACUACAGUGCCUGUGGACAGAGGAGCUGUGGGGAUGGAAGUGUGAUUGCUUCAUUCAAAUGCACGCCCCGGUGCGUGUGCGUCUCUUCUGAUGCAGCUCCCCAUGGAUACCCCAUCAGCCUGAGUCUCUUAAAGGCCUUUAUACACAUAUGUCUACACAUAGGGAUUUGGAUGAUCUCGGGAUCCCACAUCCUCGCUGUCCCCUGUCCCCCCACAACAUCCCACACCAAUACCUUUCUGAAGUUUUCUAGUCCCUCCUUUUUGUUUGUGGUCCUUAAAGCCCAGCCCCAUGCCUGACUUUGGUUCCCAGUGAGCAUUGUACAUUUGUGGAUAUUAAAUCUUUGGCAAAGUCAUUUA
rnacentral:lncRNA from 1 species